rnacentral:lncRNA from 1 species
CUCUCGCUUCUCAACUUUCAUCAACUCGUAUUUUCGUUUGAUCACGGCUUAACGUUGCCGCAUCGUAUUUACUUUUUAGGUCGAUGGAAAUUCUCUCAGUGGAAUUUGUUUUGUCGGUUACCGAAACAUGGAAAUGAGGAUAUACUUUCUUUUAGCACCGCUUGGUAUAAAUCUUGCCAUCAGUGGUACCUUCCUAACCAGAGG